CCUACGGGUGGCUGCAGUGAGGAAUAUUGGUCAAUGGGCGAGAGCCUGAACCAGCCAAGUCGCGUGAGGGAGUACUGCCCUAUAGGUUGUAAACCUCUUUUGUCGGGGAGCAAAAGCCGGACGUGUUCGGCUGUGAGAGUACCCGAAGAAAAAGCAUCGGCUAACUCCGUGCCCGCAGCCGCUGUAAUACGGAGGAUGCGAGCGUUAUCCGGAUUUAUUGGGGUUAAGGGGUGCGCAGGCGGAGUUUUAAGUCAGCGGUCAAAUGGUGGGGCUCAACCCCAUCCAGCCGUUGAAACUGGGGAUCUAGAGUGUGCGAGAGGUAUGCGGAAUGCGUGGUGUAGCGGUGAAAUGCAUAGAUAUCACGCAGAACCCCGAUUGCGAAGGCAGCAUACCGGUGCACAACUGACGCUCAGGCACGAAAGCGUGGGUAUCGAACAGGAUUAGAUACCCCGGUAGUC
rnacentral:rRNA from 1 species